AGGGGCGUAGUUCAAUUGGUAGAGCGUCGGUCUCCAAAACCGAAAGUUGGGGGUUCGAGUCCCUCCGCCCCUG
rnacentral:tRNA from 1 species